rnacentral:rRNA from 1 species
UACGGAGGGUGCGAGCGUUGUCCGGAAUCACUGGGCGUAAAGGGCGCGUAGGCGGCCUGAUAAGUAGGGGGUGAAAUCCUGCGGCUUAACCGCAGGGCUGCCUUCUAAACUGUCAGGCUUGAGCACAGUAGAGGCAGGUGGAAUUCCCGGUGUAGCGGUGGAAUGCGUAGAGAAUCGGGAAGAACAUCAGUGGCGAAGGCGCCUGCUGGGCUGUUGCUGACGCUGAGGCGCGAGCAGCGUGGGGAGCAAACAGG